rnacentral:tRNA from 1 species
GAGGGUAUAGCUCAGUGGUAGAGCGUGUGCUUAGCAUGCACGAGGCUCUGAGUUCAAUUCCCAGUACGUCUA